rnacentral:lncRNA from 1 species
AGUUUCCAAUCUGUUGGCUUCCAUAGACUAUGCAGGAUUAAGGAGCCAUUUGGAUCCCAAAAAAAAAGCAGAAUGAUAGUCUAUAAUUUUGGAUUUGGGUGGCACACAAACUUCUAAGAACUCGAAGACAGUAGUUUGUUUUCAAAGUACUACUGACCUCUCCCGACUCGUCAAUCUGCAGAAAUGUACUGUUCACAUUGGAAGGUGUGUUUUGAAAUACAAGGCACCACCUCUAGAACACUUUCUAACCCUCCCCUAAAACAUGGGAUAGCAGGAAAAGACUGCGUAUGCACUCGUCUGGAAUAUCCCCUAGUUGAUAAUGAGUUAUGGGUGAUAUUUGUUCUUGUUGUAAGUCUAACAUGAGCAGCUGUGUAAAUUCCAACUUGGGGCAGCUCAUCGGCCGCUUAUAGCCAAGUCAACAACAACAACAACCCACUAUAAUCUUAGUUAGUGAGGUCUCUGGAGUAUAGUGUGUACGCAUACCUUACCCCUACUCUGGGGUAGAGAGGCUGUUUUCAAAUAGACCCCGGCAUCCUUCCCUCCAAGAACUUCCCACCUUGCUUUUGGAGAGACUCGAACUCAUAACCUCUUGGUUGAAAGUGGAGGUUGCUUACCAUCAGAGCAACCCCUCUUGUCCUAAGUCGAGUGAGCCUGGAAAUUAAAAUUUUCUUGCUUUGUCUCACUUUUUCAUGUUAUGAGACUUGAACUCACAACCUCUCGGUUGAAAGUGGAGGUUGCUUACCAUCAGAGCAACCUCUCUUGUCUCGUAUAGCCAAGUCAAUGAAUGUAUUAGGUGUAAUUUUGUAGAUUUAACUUGGAAAGAUUUAAUGUAUUGUUCAAGUGGUUGAGUUUCUUUU